CCAGUUCGGAUUGUAGGCUGCAACCCGCCUACAUGAAGUUGGAAUUGCUAGUAAUCGCAGAUCAGAAUGCUGCGGUGAAUACGUUCCCGGGCCUUGUACACACCGCCCGUCACACCAUGGGAGCCGGUAAUACCCGAAGUCAGUAGUCUAACCGCAAGGGGGGACGCUGCCGAAGGUAGGAUUGGCGACUGGGGUGAAGUCGUAACAAGGUAGC
rnacentral:rRNA from 1 species